GCAGUGGUGGUUCAGUGGUAGAAUUCUCACCUUCCAUGCAGGAGACCCAGGAUCAAUUCCUGGCCAACACA
rnacentral:tRNA from 1 species